GAUGAACGCUGGCGGCGUGCUUAACACAUGCAAGUCGAACGGAAAGGCUCCUGCUUGCAGGGGUACUCGAGUGGCGAACGGGUGAGUAACACGUGGGUGAUCUGCCCUGCACUUCGGGAUAAGCCUGGGAAACUGGGUCUAAUACCGGAUAGGACGAUGGUUUGGAUGCCAUUGUGGAAAGUUUUUUCGGUGUGGGAUGAGCUCGCGGCCUAUCAGCUUGUUGGUGGGGUAAUGGCCUACCAAGGCGUCGACGGGUAGCCGGCCUGAGAGGGUGUACGGCCACAUUGGGACUGAGAUAUGGCCCAGACUCCUACGGGAGGCAGCAGUGGGGAAUAUUGCACAAUGGGCGCAAGCCUGAUGCAGCGACGCCGCGUGGGGGAUGACGGCCUUCGGGUUGUAAACUCCUUUCGCUAGGGACGAAGCGCAAGUGACGGUACCUGGAGAAGAAGCACCGGCUAACUACGUG
rnacentral:rRNA from 1 species